UACGGAGGGUGCGAGCGUUGUCCGGAAUCACUGGGCGUAAAGGGCGCGUAGGCGGCCUGAUAAGUAGGGGGUGAAAUCCUGCGGCUUAACCGCAGGGCUGCCUUCUAAACUGUCAGGCUCGAGCACAGUAGAGGCAGGCGGAAUUCCGGGUGUAGCGGUGGAAUGCGUAGAGAUCCGGAAGAACACCGGUGGCGAAGGCGGCCGUGCUGGGCAGUGAGCUGACACUGAGGCGCGACAGCGUGGGGAGCAAACAGG
rnacentral:rRNA from 1 species